rnacentral:sRNA from 1 species
AUAAGCUAACAACAAACAACUUUUUCAUUCUUUCCCUUUUUUGAAUGAAAAACCCAAAACUCCCUUUUUGACCAGUGUGGUUUCCUCCCUUUUUCCACACUGGUUUUUAU